CCUACGGGGUGCACCAGUGGGGAAUAUUGGACAAUGGGCGCAAGCCUGAUCCAGCCAUGCCGCGUGAGUGAAGAAGGCCUUAGGGUUGUAAAGCUCUUUCACCGGUGAAGAUAAUGACGGUAACCGGAGAAGAAGCCCCGGCUAACUUCGUGCCAGCAGCCGCGGUAAUACAGAGGAUGCAAGCGUUAUCCGGAAUGAUUGGGCGUAAAGCGUCUGUAGGUGGCUUUUUAAGCCCGCCGUCAAAUCCCAGGGCUCAACCCUGGACAGGCGGUGGAAACUACCAAGCUGGAGUAUGGUAGGGGCAGAGGGAAUUUCCGGUGGAGCGGUGAAAUGCGUAGAGAUCGGAAAGAACACCAACGGCGAAAGCACUCUGCUGGGCCGACACUGACACUGAGAGACGAAAGCUAGGGGAGCGAAUGGGAUUAGAUACCCUCGUAGUC
rnacentral:rRNA from 1 species